AGAUGGGACUAGGCAGAGUUUUGUGUUACUUUACUCUAGUAAUCUGCAUUCAAUAUUCCUGCAGUCAGACACUGAUCGAGUCUGAUCCAGUGACCAUCAAACCUGAUCAGUCUCAUAAACUGAUCUGCACAGCCUCUGGAUUAGACAUUAGUAGCUACUGGAUGGCUUGGAUCAGACAGGCGCCUGGAAAAGGACUGGAAUUUGUUGCAACUAUCGAGUAUGACAGUGAUAGAAAGUAUUACUCCAGCACUGUUCAGGGCCGCUUCACCAUCUCCAGAGACAACAGUAAGAAGCAGGUGUAUCUGCAGAUGAACAGCAUGAGGACAGAAGACACUGCAGUUUAUUACUGCGCCCGUGGUGGUGUUGGAGGUGUGGAGCUCACUCAGACAGACUCUGUGCUGGUGAAGCCUGGAGAGUCAUUCUCCAUCUCUUGUAAGAUCUCAGUGUCGAGUUAUUGUAUACACUGGAUACGGCAACCUGCUGGAAAAGCACUGGAAUGGCUCGGAUAUCUGUGUAGCGGUGAUAGCACUAAUCUCAAAGACACGAUGAAGAGCAAAUCAGUCUCAGCCAGGACAAAUCCAUCAGCACAGUUUAUUUAA